UGGUAUAUCUGACGUGUUGGGACAGUCUUACUGUGUCUUGGGACGUAUUGGUCUUAUACACGUCUCAGAGAUUAGACCGAGACAUUAAAAUUUCCAUUUGGAGAUUCCAACCAGGAGGAGCAGAACAUUUUUUGUAAAAUUACCGACAUCUUUACGAAUCCAAGAUGACUGGCAAAAAGGACCGCAAGGCAUCUACGACUUCUUCUUCUGGUACGACUAUUGAGAAUGUCAACAUUUCACUGGAUGGAACGGCUGCUGUUACAGCGGCCGUAAUUUCAGCGGGAACAGCAGCAGCUGGCUUUUUGGCCCGAUAUUGGUCAGGCGACAACUUAAAUCGAGCACCCGAAACAGACGACAACAAAAACAGCCAACAUGAAGAAAAAUCCAGAAAGAAGUGGAAACGAUUUUGUUGUUGUUGUUGUUGUUUUUGUUGAGGCCAUAAUUUUGAGUUAAAAAACACUAUUUUGUGUGGUUGGUUAUUUUUUGUCAGACGACAACCAGAACCACUACAGCAACGGCACCCAAAGCUCCAGUAAGAAUUCCGAAUGAACAUCCUUCCCAUUUCCUUGUGGCUGUGAUCAUAACAGAAAUUUGAUGAAAUAAAAUCCAAUAUUUUGUGUUGUCAUUUGAUUGAGCACGGCUGUUCAACUCGCCCGGAAACCGCUCCUUUAGUUGCUCCGUACCAGCGGUCAGUGCCACCCAUGUGUUGGUCAUUAAAUCAGUGGUCAGCCGUGCUCACUACCGUGACGCCAGUGGCGCGCCCCCGCCUGCCAGCGUAAUGCAUUCCCUCCAAAUUAUGGUGGCAUUCCUACCCUGGUAUCUCCAAAUCUAAAGAUGUGAUAUCACCAUAUGACUCACCAUUUUAAAGCCCAGUUUUCCCCCUACAAAACGAUAUAACUUUGGUUGAUCUCAGUUCACAACCUUGAAUUUAUCGAGCUACGUUCUCCAAGACGUGUUUCUAUCAAAUCGGAUUCCUUUUUCAGUGUUAUUUGAAUUUAAACGCCAAUAACUUCGUAAAGGCACCACCACUUUCAUUUCUUUUUUUCAAAAUCUAGUUGGGAAGGUAUACUGUACAAAAUGUGCAAGUUUCAGCCUUGUGUCGUUUUUAAAAUAUUUUAAAUUGAUUUUUUAAACAUUAUAUAGACUUUCUCCUAGACGUGUUUUUAUCGAAUCGGAUUCGUUUUUUCAGUGUUAUUUGAAUUUUAAACGACAGUAACUUUGUAAACUCACCAUCAGUUUCAAUUCUUUUUUCGGAAUCUAGUAGGGAUAUGUAUACUGUACAAAUUGUGCAAGGUUAAAAUUUGUGUCGUUUUUCUGUGAUUUUUGAUCAAUUAAAAAAAAACAAACAUAGAUCUAGACGUUCCCCAAGAUGUGUUUCUAUCGAGUCGGAUCUUUUUUCAGUGUUAUUUGAAUUUAAACGCCAAUAACUUCGUAAAUUCACCAUCAGUUUCAAUUCUUUUUAUAAAUCAAGAUCUAGUAGGGAGAGGUAUAUAUAUAUAUACCAAUGGUGUAAGUUUCAACUUGGUGUCGUUUUUCUGUGACUUUUUUCUUCUUUAAUAUGAUAUGGACGUCUUUUUUUCAGUGUUCACAAGCUUUUUUUGUGUGCGUUUUGUUUAAAAUCUAGAUCUAGCAUCUCUAAAAAUGUAAUAACAAUUAUAUAAUGUGUUUACCAAUAUUGUGACAGUAGGCUUAAAUGCAGUUAUAAGUGCUGACACCCUGACUGGUGAUAACCGCGAUCCUAGAGUGAUACGUUUUUAUCAAGAGUCGUCACAUGUGACAGCUGGACUUGGGGAACUGGGGACAUAUAGAGAAAACCUGUGAAUCUCCACUCAAGACUUAAUAUCUUUGCUUUAGGCAACGACACACAGAUGCAGCCAAGUGAUUUUGAAACUGUACUCAAUUUCUGACCCAAUAUCUUAGAAUUGUCAAAAUUGACCCCAGCUAUCAUGUUCAAAUUUAAUGAAAUAAAUCAUGACCCUCUAUCAAUGUUUAAA